CCAGAGCCUGAAUCAGUGUGUGUGUUAGUGGAAGCGUCUGGAAAGGCGCGCGAUACAGGGUGACAGCCCCGUACACAAAAAUGCACAUAUUGUGAGCUCGAUGAGUAGGGCGGGACACGUGGUAUCCUGUCUGAAUAUGGGGGGCCCAUCCUCCAAGGCUAAAUACUCCUGACUGACCGAUAGUGAACCAGUACCGUGAGGGAAAGGCGAAAAGAACCCCGGCGAGGGGAGUGAAAAAGAACCUGAAACCGUGUACGUACAAGCAGUGGGAGCACGCUUAGGCGUGUGACUGCGUACCUUUUGUAUAAUGGGUCAGCGACUUAUAUUCUGUAGCAAGGUUAACCGAAUAGGGGAGCCGAAGGGAAACCGAGUCUUAACUGGGCGUUAAGUUGCAGGGUAUAGACCCGAAACCCGGUGAUCUAGCCAUGGGCAGGUUGAAGGUUGGGUAACACUAACUGGAGGACCGAACCGACUAAUGUUGAAAAAUUAGCGGAUGACUUGUGGCUGGGGGUGAAAGGCCAAUCAAACCGGGAGAUAGCUGGUUCUCCCCGAAAGCUAUUUAGGUAGCGCCUCGUGAAUUCAUCUCCGGGGGUAGAGCACUGUUUCGGCAAGGGGGUCAUCCCGACUUACCAACCCGAUGCAAACUGCGAAUACCGGAGAAUGUUAUCACGGGAGACACACGGCGGGUGCUAACGUCCGUCGUGAAGAGGGAAACAACCCAGACCGCCAGCUAAGGUCCCAAAGUCAUGGUUAAGUGGGAAACGAUGUGGGAAGGCCCAGACAGCCAGGAUGUUGGCUUAGAAGCAGCCAUCAUUUAAAGAAAGCGUAAUAGCUCACUGGUCGAGUCGGCCUGCGCGGAAGAUGUAACGGGGCUAAACCAUGCACCGAAGCUGCGGCAGCGACGCUUAUGCGUUGUUGGGUAGGGGAGCGUUCUGUAAGCCUGCGAAGGUGUGCUGUGAGGCAUGCUGGAGGUAUCAGAAGUGCGAAUGCUGACAUAAGUAACGAUAAAGCGGGUGAAAAGCCCGCUCGCCGGAAGACCAAGGGUUCCUGUCCAACGUUAAUCGGGGCAGGGUGAGUCGACCCCUAAGGCGAGGCCGAAAGGCGUAGUCGAUGGGAAACAGGUUAAUAUUCCUGUACUUGGUGUUACUGCGAAGGGGGGACGGAGAAGGCUAUGUUGGCCGGGCGACGGUUGUCCCGGUUUAAGCGUGUAGGCUGGUUUUCCAGGCAAAUCCGGAAAAUCAAGGCUGAGGCGUGAUGACGAGGCACUACGGUGCUGAAGCAACAAAUGCCCUGCUUCCAGGAAAAGCCUCUAAGCAUCAGGUAACAUCAAAUCGUACCCCAAACCGACACAGGUGGUCAGGUAGAGAAUACCAAGGCGCUUGAGAGAACUCGGGUGAAGGAACUAGGCAAAAUGGUGCCGUAACUUCGGGAGAAGGCACGCUGAUAUGUAGGUGAAGUCCCUUGCGGAUGGAGCUGAAAUCAGUCGAAGAUACCAGCUGGCUGCAACUGUUUAUUAAAAACACAGCACUGUGCAAACACGAAAGUGGACGUAUACGGUGUGACGCCUGCCCGGUGCCGGAAGGUUAAUUGAUGGGGUCAGCGCAAGCGAAGCUCUUGAUCGAAGCCCCGGUAAACGGCGGCCGUAACUAUAACGGUCCUAAGGUAGCGAAAUUCCUUGUCGGGUAAGUUCCGACCUGCACGAAUGGCGUAAUGAUGGCCAGGCUGUCUCCACCCGAGACUCAGUGAAAUUGAACUCGCUGUGAAGAUGCAGUGUACCCGCGGCAAGACGGAAAGACCCCGUGAACCUUUACUAUAGCUUGACACUGAACAUUGAGCCUUGAUGUGUAGGAUAGGUGGGAGGCUUUGAAGUGUGGACGCCAGUCUGCAUGGAGCCG
rnacentral:rRNA from 1 species